GCCACAUGAUGAUGUCAAGGCUGUGGUGAUUCAGCUGGCUUAGCUAAGCCCAGGAAACCUUUGACCCAUUAAGGUCUGUAAUCUUGGUGGGCAUACAGAGCCAUGUGUGUCCGCUGUAAGGGCAGACCAACAUGAUACUCCUACUUCUGAACUACCUCUCCAGCUGCCAGCGAGAAAUUCUGGUGCCUGGAAUGAGGAAGUAGGGACAGGGCAUAUUCGGGAAUUGAGUCGGGGCUCCUGAAGGGCUUAGCUUGUGUCAUGGCCACUGAGAGAUGAAAUACAUAUCUUUGGUAAUCUGAUGGCU
rfam:Erinaceus europaeus unplaced genomic scaffold scaffold00347, whole genome shotgun sequence